GGGGGCGGCUCGGGUCUGGUGGUCCGACUGGUCUUCAAAACCAGUUGGGGCUCGCAUGAGCCUCGGUAGGUUCGAUUCCUACACGCCCCCGCCA
rnacentral:tRNA from 1 species